UGAGUCCCACGCCUCCUGCUAAGGUGCUCAAAGGAGAGACAACAGGAUAUGGCAGAGGAAAUCAAGAUGCUGAUGGUGCUCUAGGUACAGGGUGUGUGAGGGUGUGUGUGUGUGUUAUCUUGUGGCCACACAGAGAAAGCUCAGCAGGACAGCAGGAUGUGCCCUGUGUAGACCGAUGCAGGAGGCUGGACUGGCGGCUCCACCUCACCAGACCUGUUUCUUCAUCUAUAAAGUUACUCGGCCUGCUGCCCAGCAAACCUGCCCGGGUUCAGGGCUGGUACUGGGCCCUGGGAACAAUUUCCAGUGACAGCAUCCGUCCAGCCUUUCAGGGAAACAGCGUGGCAGCCAAUUUCUACUUUCUCUUGAAGUUAUCGGGGCUCCUCUUGGUCAUGGUGGUUUCUCAGCCCUCACUGCUUUUGAUGACCUUCACCGUUUUAAGAAGUACUGGUCAGGCGUUUUGGAGGAUGCCCCACUACCGGAAUCUGUCUGAUGUUCUUCUCAUAAGAUUGGGAGGAAGACCUCAGAGGUCAAGGGCCACUCUCAUCACAUCCUGUCAGAAGUACAUACUAGCAACAUGACUUAUCACUGUUGAUGUUGACCUUGAUCACCCGGCUGAGGUCGUUUGUCUGCUUCCCAACUCAUUUUUAUGCCAGAGAAAUAACAGGUGAUGGAGAGAAAGGUCUCUGACGACCCUUUAAGGUCAUGUUCAAAAGAAAGUAGCCACAGCAAUGGGACAGCUCACAAGCAGAGAGCAGGUCUU